rnacentral:rRNA from 1 species
AGAGUUUGAUCCUGGCUCAGGACGAACGCUGGCGGCGUGCAUAAUGCAUGCAAGUCGAACGCAGCAGCUUCGGCUGGCUGCGUGGCGAACGGCUGAGGAACACGUGGGUAACCUGCCCCGGAGUGGGGGAUACCCCGUCGAAAGACGGGAUAAUCCCGCAUACGCUCUACGGAGGAAAGCCCCUACGGGCGCUCUGGGAGGGGCCUGCGGCCCAUCAGGUUGUUGGUGUGGUAACGGCGCACCAAGCCACUGACGGGUACCCGGUCUGAGAGGACGGCCGGGCAGACUGGGACUGCGACACGGCCCAGACUCCUACGGGAGGCAGCAGCAAGGAAUUUUCCCCAAUGGGCGCAAGCCUGAGGGAGCAACGCCGCGUGGAGGACGACGACCAACGGGUUGUAAACUCCUUUCGGGUGGGACGACUCCGACGGUACCACCAGAAGCAGCCCCGGAUAACUCUGUGCCAGCAGCCGCGGUAAAAAAAAGGGGGCAAGCGUUGUCCGGAGUUACUGGGCGUAAAGGGCGCGGAGGCGGUCUGCGGCGUCGGCGCUGAAAGCGCCCCGCUUAACGGGGCGAGGCGUGCCGAUACGCGCAGACUUGAGGCGAGCAGAGGGUGGUGGAAUUCCGGGUGGAGCGGUGAAAUGCGUAGAGAUCCGGAGGAACGCCAGUGGGGAAGCCGGCCACCUGGGCUCGGCCUGACGCUGCGGCGCGACCGCGUGGGGAGCAAACCGGAUUAGAUACCCGGGUAGUCCACGCCGUAAACGAUGCCAGCUCGGCGUGUGGCCCACGGUCGUGCGCUGCGUGCCUUAGCUCACGCGAUAAGCUGCCCACCUGGGGACUACGAGCGCAAGCUUGCAUGCCUGCAGGUCGACUCUAGAGUCCCCAUACCAGCCGUAGCC